UACGUAGGGGGCGAGCGUUGUCCGGAUUUAUUGGGCGUAAAGAGCUCGUAGGUGGUUUGGUAAGUCGGAUGUGAAAUCUCCAGGCUCAACCUGGAGGGGUCAUUCGAUACUGCCAUGACUAGAGUUCGGUAGGGGAGUGUGGAAUUCCUGGUGGAGCGGUGAAAUGCGCAGAUAUCAGGAGGAACACCCGUAGCGAAGGCGGCACUCUGGGCCGAUACUGACACUGAGACGCGAAAGCGUGGGGAGCGAACAGG
rnacentral:rRNA from 1 species